rnacentral:rRNA from 1 species
GUGCCAGCAGCCGCGGUAAUACGUAGGGUGCAAGCGUUGUCCGGAUUUAUUGGGCGUAAAGAGCUCGUAGGCGGCUUGGCAAGUCGGGUGUGAAAACUCCAGGCUCAACCUGGAGAUGCCACCCGAUACUGCUAUGGCUUGAGUCUGGUAGGGGAGCACGGAAUUCCUGGUGUAGCGGUGAAAUGCGCAGAUAUCAGGAGGAACACCGGUGGCGAAGGCGGUGCUCUGGGCCAGUACUGACGCUGAGGAGCGAAAGCGUGGGGAGCAAACAGGAUUAGAUACCCCCGUAGUCC